GACGAACGCUGGCGGCGUGCUUAACACAUGCAAGUCGAACGGAAAGGCCUGCUUUCCCUUGUGGAUUGCGGGUACUCGAGUGGCUAACGGGUGAGUAACACGUGAGUGAUCUGCCCCCAACUUGGGUAUAAGCCUGGGAAACUGGGUCUAAUUCCCGAUAGGACUGCAGGGUGGUGCCUGUGGUGGAAAACGAUUUUCUAGUGGUUGGGGAUGAGCUCGCGGCCUAUCAGCUUGUUGGUGGGGUAAUGGCCUACCAAGGCGGCGACGGGUAGCCGGCCUGAGAGGGUGGACGGCCACAUUGGGACUGAGAGACGGCCCAGACUCCUACGGGAGGCAGCAGUGGGGAAUAUUGCACAAUGGGCGGAAGCCUGAUGCAGCGACGCAGCGUGGGGGAUGACGGCCUUCGGGUUGUAAACUCCUUUCGACCGCGAGGAAGCCACCUGGUUGGAAGGGUGGUGACGGUAGUGGUAGAAGAAGCACCGGCUAACUACGUG
rnacentral:rRNA from 1 species